GACGAACGCUGGCGGCGUGCUUAACACAUGCAAGUCGAACGGAAAGGCCCUGCUUUUGUGGGGUGCUCGAGUGGCGAACGGGUGAGUAACACGUGAGUAACCUGCCCUGGACUUUGGGAUAACUUCAGGAAACUGGGGCUAAUACCGGAUAGGAGCUCCUGCUGCAUGGUGGGGGUUGGAAAGUUUCGGCGGUUGGGGAUGGACUCGCGGCUUAUCAGCUUGUUGGUGGGGUAGUGGCUUACCAAGCCUUUGACGGGUAGCCGGCCUGAGAGGGUGACCGGCCACAUUGGGACUGAGAUACGGCCCAGACUCCUACGGGAGGCAGCAGUGGGGAAUAUUGCACAAUGGGCGGAAGCCUGAUGCAGCAACGCCGCGUGCGGGAUGACGGCCUUCGGGUUGUAAACCGCUUUCGCCUGUGACGAAGCGUGAGUGACGGUAAUGGGUAAAGAAGCACCGGCUAACUACGUG
rnacentral:rRNA from 1 species